GUCAAAGGUUCAACCAGAGGAACCAACAGCUCAGUAAACCUCUGGAUGAUUCUGGACCAAGUCAAUAGAUUUGUGGUCUUUAAAGAAACUAUGAUUGUCUGGAGCUUAUUCAUAUUUUGCAUUCAGGGAGUUUGGAGUGAGAUCAGACUGAAUCAGUCUCCCACCGAGGUGAAAAGACCUGGAGAGACAGUGAAGAUGUCAUGCGUCACAUCUGGUUAUACCAUGACAGACUACGCUAUGAACUGGAUACGACAGAAGCCAGGGAACGCUCUGGAGUGGAUGGGGUGGAUCAACACCUAUACGGCCACUCCAACCUAUGCCAGCUCCUUUCAAAGCCGGAUCACGCUUUCUCAGGACGUUCCCAGCAGCACUCAGUACCUUGAGAUCAGGAGCCUGACAACAGAAGACGCUGCUGUUUACUACUGUGCUCGAAUGCACAGUGAGUGGAGUCAGUGGAGCAGCUGCACACAAACCUGCUUAGGCUUCAUGUUCCCAAAGAGGGUGAUUCAGACUAUGAAGUAAUGAUGCUGUACAAUAUAUCUAGAGGCAUAAAAACCCAGAAACUCUAUUAAUAUACAUACAUGACAUUAACUACAUCCAUGGAGUUGAAUUCUGUUUAUGUUUUACUCUGAUUCUAGACUCAUCAGAAAACACAAACUCUAUUAAUAUACUGUGUUUUUAACUACACCUGUAAUGUUCAAUUCUGGGAGACUUGAAUGUGUAACUGUAUAGAGAUGGACCUAACGGUUUGGCAAUGAUAACUAAACUGGGUAACAUGCAUUAACACACAUUGAAUGUUACUAUUUUGAUUGUAAAUAAAAAG